AGAGUUUGAUCCUGGCUCAGAUUGAACGCUGGCGGCAUGCUUUACACAUGCAAGUCGAACGGUAACAGGUCUUCGGAUGCUGACGAGUGGCGAACGGGUGAGUAAUACAUCGGAACGUGCCUAGUAGUGGGUGAUAACUACUCGAAAGAGUAGCUAAUACCGCAUGAGAUCUACGGAUGAAAGCAGGGGACCUUCGGGCCUUGUGCUACUAGAGCGGCUGAUGGCAGAUUAGGUAGUUGGUGGGGUAAAGGCUUACCAAGCCUGCGAUCUGUAGCUGGUCUGAGAGGACGACCAGCCACACUGGGACUGAGACACGGCCCAGACUCCUACGGGAGGCAGCAGUGGGGAAUUUUGGACAAUGGGCGAAAGCCUGAUCCAGCAAUGCCGCGUGCAGGAUGAAGGCCCUCGGGUUGUAAACUGCUUUUGUACGGAACGAAAAGCCUGGGGCUAAUAUCCCCGGGUCAUGACGGUACCGUAAGAAUAAGCACCGGCUAACUACGUGCCAGCAGCCGCGGUAAUACGUAGGGUGCAAGCGUUAAUCGGAAUUACUGGGCGUAAAGCGUGCGCAGGCGGUUUUGUAAGACAGUGGUGAAAUCCCCGGGCUCAACCUGGGAACUGCCAUUGUGACUGCAAGGCUAGAGUGCGGCAGAGGGGGAUGGAAUUCCGCGUGUAGCAGUGAAAUGCGUAGAUAUGCGGAGGAACACCGAUGGCGAAGGCAAUCCCCUGGGCCUGCACUGACGCUCAUGCACGAAGGCGUGGGGAGCAAACAGGAUUAGAUACCCUGUAGUCCACGCCCUAAACGAUGUCAACUGGUUGUUGGGUCUUAACUGACUCAGUAACGAAGCUAACGCGUGAAGUUGACCGCCUGGGGAGUACGGCCGCAAGGUUGAAACUCAAGGAAUUGACGG
rnacentral:rRNA from 1 species